UUAAAACUCACAAGACUUGGUGGCGCCCUAUAACCCCCUAGAACGAUCUGUUCUGUUAUCGAUACUCUCCGAUCAAACUCACCACCUCUCGGUUCCAACAUACCUAUAUCCCAUCAGUCCUCANCUUACACCCCAAAAGGUAGAAUAGUAAGCAAAAUCAUUUUAAAUAAAAAAGUCAGGUCAAGGUGUAGCAAAUGGGGUGGAAAGAAAUGGGCUACAUUUUCUAUUACAGAAUAUACAGAAUGUUUUAUGAAAUAUGACAUGAAGGAGGAUUUAGAAGUAAAAGGAAAAAAGAGUGUUCUUUUUAAAUCGGCAAUAGAACGCGCACACACCGCCCGUCACCCUCCUUACACACCAAAAAAUUAAAUAAGUAUUAAUACAACAAGAGGAGGUGAGUCGUUACCUGGUAAGCAUUCCGGAAGGUGGGUUUGUGAUUCAGAAACUCGGUUGCUUGAUGCUUUUUGGAUACACAAAAAAAAUAUCUGUUGAAAUGAAGGANUUUG
rnacentral:misc_RNA from 1 species